rnacentral:snRNA from 1 species
UUAAAAACGUUUAAUCAUUUUUAUUGGAACGAUACAGAGAAGAUUAGCAUGGCCCCUGCGCAAGGAUGACAAGCAAAUUCGUGAAGCGUUCCAUAUUUUU